rnacentral:rRNA from 1 species
CUCUGUUUGAAGAUAUAAAAAGUCUAACCUGCCCACUGACUUAAUAUAAAGGGCCGCGGUAGUAUAACCGUGCAAAGGUAGCAAAAUCAUUAGGUUUUUAAUUGAAAUCUUGUAUGAAUGGUUGAACAAAUGAGAUACUGUCUUUGUAUUAAGGUUUAAAAUUAACUUUUAGGUGAAAAGGCUUAAAUUAACUAAAUAGACGAUAAGACCCUAUAAAACUUUACAUUGUAAUUUUAUUUAAUUAAAUUAAUAAUAAAGAUUUAGUAUAUUUAUUUGUUAUAUUGGGGAGAUAAAAGUAAAACUUUAUUUUAACUGCUUUAAAAUAAGUCAAAUAUAAUUGAAGGUAGUAAUAGUUCUUUUAUAAAGAUAAAAAGAUUAAGUUACUUUAGGGAUAACAGCGUUAUUUUUUUUGAGAGUUCUUAUCGAAAAAAAAGUUUGCGACCUCGAUGUUGAAUUAAAUUGUCUGUAUAAUGUAGAAGUUAUAAAAGAGGGUCUGUUCGACCUUUAAAUAUUUACAUGAUUUGAGUUCAAACCGGUGUGAG